UGUGGCAUUCCACCAGCUUUGUCCCAAGUGUAGUUACCAAAGGCAAUGGGAGAGCCAGCCCACUGUUGGUAGCAUGCCGGUCGGAAACCUUCAGUUGUCUGCAGCCACGUAUUUUACCGGAGGAUCAUUCAUCCAAGUACAAAAGAUUUGCAAGGGGAUGCAAUUACAAAUUUUUACGUACGAAACCUUCCGGAGACAUUGCGGAGCUUCCUGGAGCCUGCCAUAAUCCACAAAUGGAAAAGUGAACAACAAAACCUUUUCCAGAAGUUUAGACAGAGUGGAAAGAUUGGCCUCGCCGGAGAUAUGCGUGCAGACUCACCCGGACAUUCAGCCAAAUAUGGUAGUUACACGUUGAUGCACACAGAGAGCAACACCAUUUUGGACACACAACUUGUUCAGAGCAAUGAAGUCGGCGGGAGUUACCAUAUGGAGAAAGAAGGUCUAAAGAGAUGUCUUGAUCAUCUGGAGUCCAGUGGCUUAACAGUCGACUACAUUGUGACUGACCGUCACC